rnacentral:rRNA from 1 species
AACGCGAAGAACCUUACCAGCCCUUGACAUGGCAGGACGGUUUCCAGAGAUGGACUCCUUCUCGCAAGAGACCUGCACACAGGUGCUGCAUGGCUGUCGUCAGCUCGUGUCGUGAGAUGUUGGGUUAAGUCCCGCAACGAGCGCAACCCUCGCCCUUAGUUGCCAUCAUUCAGUUGGGCACUCUAAGGGGACUGCCGGUGAUAAGCCGCGAGGAAGGUGGGGAUGACGUCAAGUCCUCAUGGCCCUUACGGGCUGGGCUACACACGUGCUACAAUGGCGGUGACAGUGGGACGCAAUGGGGCAACCCUGCGCAAAUCUCAAAAAGCCGUCUCAGUUCGGAUUGUGCUCUGCAACUCGAGCACAUGAAGUUGGAAUCGCUAGUAAUCGCAGAUCAGCACGCUGCGGUGAAUACGUUCCCGGGCCUUGUACACACCGUAGUAC